rnacentral:rRNA from 1 species
GCCCCGGUAAACGGCGGCCGUAACUAUAACGGUCCUAAGGUAGCGAAAUUCCUUGUCGGGUAAGUUCCGACCUGCACGAAUGGCGUAAUGAUGGCCAGGCUGUCUCCACCCGAGACUCAGUGAAAUUGAACUCGCUGUGAAGAUGCAGUGUACCCGCGGCAAGACGGAAAGACCCCGUGAACCUUUACUAUAGCUUGACACUGAACAUUGAGCCUUGAUGUGUAGGAUAGGUGGGAGGCUUUGAAGUGUGGACGCCAGUCUGCAUGGAGCCGACCUUGAAAUACCACCCUUUAAUGUUUGAUGUUCUAACGUUGGCCCGUAAUCCGGGUUGCGGACAGUGUCUGGUGGGUAGUUUGACUGGGGCGGUCUCCUCCUAAAGAGUAACGGAGGAGCACGAAGGUUGGCUAAUCCUGGUCGGACAUCAGGAGGUUAGUGCAAUGGCAUAAGCCAGCUUGACUGCGAGCGUGACGGCGCGAGCAGGUGCGAAAGCAGGUCAUAGUGAUCCGGUGGUUCUGAAUGGAAGGGCCAUCGCUCAACGGAUAAAAGGUACUCCGGGGAUAACAGGCUGAUACCGCCCAAGAGUUCAUAUCGACGGCGGUGUUUGGCACCUCGAUGUCGGCUCAUCACAUCCUGGGGCUGAAGUAGGUCCCAAGGGUAUGGCUGUUCGCCAUUUAAAGUGGUACGCGAGCUGGGUUUAGAACGUCGUGAGACAGUUCGGUCCCUAUCUGCCGUGGGCGCUGGAGAACUGAGGGGGGCUGCUCCUAGUACGAGAGGACCGGAGUGGACGCAUCACUGGUGUUCGGGUUGUCAUGCCAAUGGCACUGCCCGGUAGCUAAAUGCGGAAGAGAUAAGUGCUGAAAGCAUCUAAGCACGAAACUUGCCCCGAGAUGAGUUCUCCCUGACUCCUUGAGGGUCCUGAAGGAACGUUGAAGACGACGACGUUGAUAGGCCGGGUGUGUAAGCGCAGCGAUGCGUUGAGCUAACCGGUACUAAUGAACCGUGAGGCUUAACCUU